rnacentral:rRNA from 1 species
AGUGAACGCUGGCGGUAGGCCUAACACAUGCAAGUCGAACGGCAGCACAGUAAGAGCUUGCUCUUACGGGUGGCGAGUGGCGGACGGGUGAGGAAUACAUCGGAAUCUACUUUUUCGUGGGGGAUAACGUAGGGAAACUUACGCUAAUACCGCAUACGACCUACGGGUGAAAGCAGGGGAUCUUCGGACCUUGCGCGAUUGAAUGAGCCGAUGUCGGAUUAGCUAGUUGGCGGGGUAAAGGCCCACCAAGGCGACGCUCCGUAGCUGGUCUGAGAGGAUGAUCAGCCACACGGGAACUGAGACACGGUCCAGACUCCUACGGGAGGCAGCAGUGGGGAAUAUUGGACAAUGGGCGCAGGCCUGAUCCAGCCAGACCGCGUGGGUGAAGAAGGCCUUCGGGUUGUAAAGCCCUUUUGUUGGGAAAGAAAAGCAGCAGGUUAAUACCCCGCUGUUCUGACGGUACCUAAAGAAUAAGCACCGGCUAACUUCGUG